rnacentral:rRNA from 1 species
CCUACGGGUGGCAGCAGUGGGGAAUAUUGGACAAUGGGCGAAAGCCUGAUCCAGCCAUGCCGCGUGUGUGAAGAAGGCCUUCGGGUUGUAAAGCACUUUCAGUGGGGAAGAAAGCCUUGGGGCUAAUACCCUCGAGGAAGGACAUCACCCACAGAAGAAGCACCGGCUAACUCCGUGCCAGCAGCCGCGGUAAUACGGAGGGUGCGAGCGUUAAUCGGAAUUACUGGGCGUAAAGCGCGCGUAGGCGGUCUGAUAAGCCGGUUGCGAAAGCCCCGGGCUCAACCUGGGAACGGCAUCCGGAACUGUCAGGCUAGAGUGCAGGAGAGGAAGGUAGAAUUCCCGGUGUAGCGGUGAAAUGCGUAGAGAUCGGGAGGAAUACCAGUGGCGAAGGCGGUCUUCUGGACUGACACUGACGCUGAGGUGCGAAAGCGUGGGUAGCAAACAGGAUUAGAUACCCGAGUAGUC